rnacentral:rRNA from 1 species
CGGAGAGGUUGUCUGAUACUGGCGAACUAGAGUGUAGUAGAGGGAUGUGGAAUUCCGCGUGUAGUGGUGAAAUGCGUAGAUAUGCGGAGAAACACCAGUGGCGAAGGCGGCAUCCUGGACCACAACUGACGCUGAGGCGCGAAAGCAUGGGUAGCGAACGGGAUUAGAAACCCCGGUAGUCCAUGCCGUAAACGAUGUGCAUUCGAUGUUCGUACUGCAUUGCAGUAUGAGUGUCUAAGUCAACGCGGUAAAUGCACCGCCUGGGGAGUACGGUCGCAAGGCUAAAACUCAAAGGAAUUGACGGGGGCCCGCACAAGCAGCGGAGCGUGUGGUUUAAUUCGAGGCUACACGAAGAACCUUACCUGGGUUUGACAUCAUGGUGGUAGUGAAGCGAAAGCGGAACGACCUUCGGGAGCCAUGACAGGUGCUGCAUGGCUGUCGUCAGCUCGUGCCGUGAGGUGUUCGGUUAAGUCCGAAAACGAGCGCAACCCUCGGUGCUAGUUACAAGUGUCUAGCGCGACUGCCCGUGACAAACGGGAGGAAGGUGGGGAUGACGUCAAGUCAGCAUGGCCUUUAUAUCCAGGGCUACACACACGCUACAAUGGACGAUACAGUAGGUUGCGAAGCCGCGAGGUGGAGCCAAUCCAGCAAAGUCGUUCGUAGUUCGAAUUGCAGGCUGCAACUCGCCUGCAUGAAGUCGGAGUUGCUAGUAACCGCAGGUCAGCUAUACUGCGGUGAAUACGUUCCCGGGCCUUGUACACACCGCCCGUCACGUCAUGGAAGCUGGUCACGCCUGAAGUCGGGAAGCUAACCGCAAGGGGGCUACUGCCGAGGGCAGGGCUGGUGACUGGGACGAAGUCGUAACAAGGUAGCUGUAGCGGAAGCUGCGGCUGGAUCACCU